GACGAACGCUGGCGGCGCGCUUAACACAUGCAAGUCGAGCGAUGAAACUCUAACAGAACCCUUCGGGGCGAAGAAAAGGUGGAUUAGCGGCGGACGGGUGAGUAACACGUGAGUAACCUGCCUUAGACAUUGGGAUAGCCUCGGGAAACCGGGAUUAAUACCAACUAAAAUCAGAAUGACACAUGUCAUAACGAGCAAAACUCCGGUGGUCUAAGAUGGACUCGCGUCCCAUUAGCUAGUUGGUAGAGUAAAAGCCUACCAAGGCGACGAUGGGUAGCCGGCCUGGGAGGGUGAACGGCCACAUUGGAACUGAGAAACGGUCCAAACUCCUACGGGAGGCAGCAGUGGGGAAUAUUGCACAGUGGAGGGAACUCUGAUGCAGCGACGCCGCGUGAACGAAGAAGGCUUUCGAGUCGUAAAGUUCUUUUAUAUGGGAAGAUAAUGACGGUACCAUAAGAAAAAGCCCCGGCUAACUACGUG
rnacentral:rRNA from 1 species